UAAGGGAUAUUGGUCAAUGGACGCAAGUCUGAACCAGCCAUGCCGCGUGAAGGAUGAAGGUCCUCUGGAUUGUAAACUUCUUUUAUCUGGGACGAAAACGGGAUUUUUAUCUCAAUUGACGGUACCAGAGGAAUAAGCACCGGCUAACUCCGUGCCAGCAGCCGCGGUAAUACGGAGGGUGCGAGCGUUAUCCGGAUUUACUGGGUUUAAAGGGUGCGUAGGUGGGCUUAUAAGUCAGUGGUGAAAUCUCCGAGCUUAACUUGGAAACUGCCGUUGAUACUAUAGGUCUUGAAUUAUCUGGAGGUGAGCGGAAUAUGUCAUGUAGCGGUGAAAUGCUUAGAUAUGACAUAGAACACCAAUUGCGAAGGCAGCUUACUACAUAUAAAUUGACGCUGAGGCACGAAAGCGUGGGGAUCAAACA
rnacentral:rRNA from 1 species